UUGGAGGGCAAGUCUGGUGCCAGCAGCCGCGGUAAUUCCAGCUCCAAUAGCGUAUAUUAAAGUUGUUGCAGUUAAAAAGCUCGUAGUUGAAACUUGGGCCUGGCUGGCAGGUCCGCCUCACCGCGUGUACUUGUCCGGCCGGGCCUUUCCUUCUGGAGAACCUCAUGCCCUUCACUGGGUGUGUUGGGGAACCAGGACUUUUACUUUGAAAAAAUUAGAGUGUUCAAAGCAGGCCUUUGCUCGAAUACGUUAGCAUGGAAUAAUAGAAUAGGACGUGCGGUCCUCUUUUGUUGGUUUUUA
rnacentral:rRNA from 1 species